CAUGUACUCCCUCCGUCCAAAAAUAUUUGUCAAAGAAAUGCAUAAAAAUGAAUGUAUAUAGAAUUAAAAUACGUUUAGAUACAUCCAUUUCUCCGACGAGUAUUUCCGGACGGAAGAGGUACGUG
rfam:Triticum aestivum genome assembly, contig: Triticum_aestivum_CS42_TGACv1_scaffold_579131_7BL